UGGGGAAUAUUGCACAAUGGAGGAAACUCUGAUGCAGCGACGCCGCGUGAGUGAAGAAGUAAUUCGUUAUGUAAAGCUCUAUCAGCAGGGAAGAUAGUGACGGUACCUGACUAAGAAGCUCCGGCUAAAUACGUGCCAGCAGCCGCGGUAAUACGUAUGGAGCAAGCGUUAUCCGGAUUUACUGGGUGUAAAGGGAGCGUAGACGGCACAGCAAGUCUGAUGUGAAAGGCAUGGGCUCAACCCGUGGACUGCAUUGGAAACUGCUGGGCUUGGGUGCCGGAGGGGUAAGCGGAAUUCCUAGUGUAGCGGUGAAAUGCGUAGAUAUUAGGAGGAACACCAGUGGCGAAAGGCGGCUUACUGGACGGUAACUGACGUUGAGGCUCGAAAGCGUGGGGAGC
rnacentral:rRNA from 1 species